UACGAAGGGGGCUAGCGUUGUUCGGAAUUACUGGGCGUAAAGCGCGCGCAGGCGGUCCUUCAAGUCAGAGGUGAAAGCCCAGAGCUCAACUCUGGAACGGCCUUUGAGACUAGAGGACUUGGGUACGGGAGAGGUGAGUGGAAUUCCGAGUGUAGAGGUGAAAUUCGUAGAUAUUCGGAAGAACACCAGCGGCGAAGGCGGCUCACUGGCCCGUUACCGACGCUCAGGCGCGACAGCGUGGGGAGCAAACAGG
rnacentral:rRNA from 1 species